rnacentral:tRNA from 1 species
GGAGCCAUGGUGAAGUGGUUAUCACAUCGCUCUGUGGCAGCGAGGUCGAGGGUUCAAGUCCCUCUGGCUCCC